GGGGUAGCAAUACCUGCUGGCGACCGGCAAACGGGUGCGGAACACGUACAGAACCUUCCUUUAAGCGGGGGAUAGCCCAUAGAAAUGUGGAUUAAUACCCCAUAGUAAUAUUUGAUGGCAUCAUUAGAUAUUUAAAGAUUUAUCACUUAAAGAUGGCUGUGCGGCUGAUUAGGUAAUUGGUUGGGGUAACGGCCCACCAAGCCAUCGAUCAGUAACUGGUGUGAGAGCACGACCAGUCACACGGGCACUGAGACACGGGCCCGACUCCUACGGGAGGCAGCAGUAAGGAAUAUUGGUCAAUGGACGGAAGUCUGAACCAGCCAUGCCGCGUGAAGGAUGAAGGCCCUCUGGGUUGUAAACUUCUUUUAUCUGGGAAGAAAUGCCUGUUUUUUAACGGGUUUGACGGUACCAGAGGAAUAAGCACCGGCUAACUCCGUGCCAGCAGCCGCGGUAAUACGGAGGGUGCAAGCGCUAUCCGGAUUCACUGGGUUUAAAGGGUGCGUAGGUGGGUUGGUAAGUCAGUGGUGAAAUCUCCGUGCUUAACAU
rnacentral:rRNA from 1 species